UACGGGGGGGGCAAGCGUUGUUCGGAAUUACUGGGCGUAAAGGGCUCGUAGGCGGCCAACUAAGUCAGACGUGAAAUCCCUCGGCUUAACCGGGGAACUGCGUCUGAUACUGGUUGGCUUGAAUCCGGGAGAGGGAUGUGGAAUUCCAGGUGUAGCGGUGAAAUGCGCAGAUAUCAGGAGGAACACCCGUGGCGAAAGCGGCUCUCUGGGACGGUACUGACGCUGAGACGCGAAAGCGUGGGGAGCAAACAGG
rnacentral:rRNA from 1 species